rnacentral:rRNA from 1 species
UACGAAGGGGGCGAGCGUUGUUCGGAUUUACUGGGCGUAAAGGGCGCGUAGGCGGCCCACCAAGUCAGGCGUGAAAGCCCCGGGCUCAACCUGGGAACGGCGCUUGGGACUGAUGGGCUGGAGUUCGGGAGAGGAGAGUGGAAUUCCCAGUGUAGAGGUGAAAUUCGUAGAUAUUGGGAAGAACACCGGUGGCGAAGGCGGCUCUCUGGACCGACGACUGACGCUGAGGCGCGGAAAGCGUGGGGAGCAAAACAGG